AUACGGAGGGUGCAAGCGUUAUUCGGAAUCACUGGGCGUAAAGGACGCGUAGGCGGGUUGGCAAGUCAGAUGUGAAAUCCUACAGCUUAACUGUAGAACUGCAUUUGAAACUGCUAACCUAGAGUAUGGGAGGGGGAGAUGGAAUUAGUGGUGUAGGGGUAAAAUCCGUAGAUAUCACUAGGAAUACCGAAAGCGAAGGCGGUCUCCUGGAACAUAACUGACGCUAAGGCGUGAAAGCGUGGGGAGCAAACAGGAUUAGAAACCCCGGUAGUCC
rnacentral:rRNA from 1 species